rnacentral:rRNA from 1 species
GGCGGCAGGCCUAACACAUGCAAGUCGAGCGGUAGCACAGAGAGCUUGCUCUCGGGUGACGAGCGGCGGACGGGUGAGUAAUGUCUGGGAAACUGCCUGAUGGAGGGGGAUAACUACUGGAAACGGUAGCUAAUACCGCAUAACGUCGCAAGACCAAAGUGGGGGACCUUCGGGCCUCAUGCCAUCAGAUGUGCCCAGAUGGGAUUAGCUAGUAGGUGGGGUAAUGGCUCACCUAGGCGACGAUCCCUAGCUGGUCUGAGAGGAUGACCAGCCACACUGGAACUGAGACACGGUCCAGACUCCUACGGGAGGCAGCAGUGGGGAAUAUUGCACAAUGGGCGCAAGCCUGAUGCAGCCAUGCCGCGUGUGUGAAGAAGGCCUUCGGGUUGUAAAGCACUUUCAGCGGGGAGGAAGGCGUUAAGGUUAAUAACCUUGGCGAUUGACGUUACCCGCAGAAGAAGCACCGGCUAACUCCGUGCCAGCAGCCGCGGUAAUACGGAGGGUGCAAGCGUUAAUCGGAAUUACUGGGCGUAAAGCGCUCGCAGGCGGUCUGUCAAGUCGGAUGUGAAAUCCCCGGGCUCAACCUGGGAACUGCAUUCGAAACUGGCAGGCUAGAGUCUUGUAGAGGGGGGUAGAAUUCCAGGUGUAGCGGUGAAAUGCGUAGAGAUCUGGAGGAAUACCGGUGGCGAAGGCGGCCCCCUGGACAAAGACUGACGCUCAGGUGCGAAAGCGUGGGGAGCAAACAGGAUUAGAUACCCUGGUAGUCCACGCCGUAAACGAUGUCGAUUUGGAGGUUGUGCCCUUGAGGCGUGGCUUCCGGAGCUAACGCGUUAAAUCGACCGCCUGGGGAGUACGGCCGCAAGGUUAAAACUCAAAUGAAUUGACGGGGGCCCGCACAAGCGGUGGAGCAUGUGGUUUAAUUCGAUGCAGCGCGAAGAACCUUACCUGGUCUUGACAUCCACAGAACUUAGCAGAGAUGCUUUGGUGCCUUCGGGAACUGUGAGACAGGUGCUGCAUGGCUGUCGUCAGCUCGUGUUGUGAAAUGUUGGGUUAAGUCCCGCAACGAGCGCAACCCUUAUCCUUUGUUGCCAGCGGUUAGGCCGGGAACUCAAAGGAGACUGCCAGUGAUAAACUGGAGGAAGGUGGGGAUGACGUCAAGUCAUCAUGGCCCUUACGACCAGGGCUACACACGUGCUACAAUGGCAUAUACAAAGAGAAGCGACCUCGCGAGAGCAAGCGGACCUCAUAAAGUAUGUCGUAGUCCGGAUUGGAGUCUGCAACUCGACUCCAUGAAGUCGGAAUCGCUAGUAAUCGUAGAUCAGAAUGCUACGGUGAAUACGUUCCCGGGCCUUGUACACACCGCCCGUCACACCAUGGGAGUGGGUUGCAAAAGAAGUAGGUAGCUUAACCUUCGGGAGGGCGCUUACCACUUUGUGAUUCAUGACUGGGGUGAA